rnacentral:misc_RNA from 1 species
UCCGAGUUGACCCCGGCAGUCUCCUAUGAGUCCCCGCCAUUACGCGCUGGCAACAUAGAACGAGGGUUGCGCUCGUUGCGGGACUUAACCCAACAUCUCACGACACGAGCUGACGACAGCCAUGCAGCACCUGUGUUCCAGUUCCCUUUCGGGCACACCCAGAUCUCUCUAGGCUUCCGGACAUGUCAAGGGUAGGUAAGGUUUUUCGCGUUGCAUCGAAUUAAUCCACAUAAUCCACCGCUUGUGCGGGUCCCCGUCAAUUCCUUUGAGUUUUAACCUUGCGGCCGUACUCCCCAGGCGGUCGACUUCACGCGUUAGCUUCGUUACUGAGAGUGUCAAACCCCCAACAACCAGUCGACAUCGUUUACGGCGUGGACUAC